UACGUAGGGUGCGAGCGUUAAUCGGAAUUACUGGGCGUAAAGCGUGCGCAGGCGGUUUUGUAAGCCAGAUGUGAAAUCCCCGGGCUUAACCUGGGAAUGGCAUUUGGGACUGCAAGGCUGGAGUGCGGCAGAGGAGACUGGAAUUCCUGGUGUAGCAGUGAAAUGCGUAGAUAUCAGGAGGAACACCGAUGGCGAAGGCAGGUCUCUGGGCUGACACUGACGCUGAGACGCGAAAGCGUGGGGAGCGAACAGG
rnacentral:rRNA from 1 species